GCGGCGGCGGCAGCGGCCUGGCAGCUGCUGUCUGUCGAAGCCAGUGAGGGAGAGGGAGAAGGAAAGAGAGAUGGGGCGGAGGCGGCGUCGUGUGUGGCGUCGUCGCUGCCGGAAAUUUAAGGUAGGGUCGAUCUAGAUUUUGGGGAUCUAGGGCUCCAGUGGGAUUUAGAGAGAGAGGAAGGUUAGGAGGGGAGUGAGGUGAUUUAGGGCUUGGGUUUGGGCGAGCGGCGGCGGCGGUGGUUGCAAUGCCGCUGCGGCCGCCGGAUUUCAGAGGGAGUCGGCGGCCUAAGGUGGUGCGUCGUGUGUGUAUUCCGUGGGAGAGAGACGAGAGAGAGAGGUCAGAGGGUGGCGUGGCGUUGACCGGGGUUCCCAGCGGUUGCUGCUACGCCGGAGGAGGGCCGGCGUUGGCCGGAGAUGAGGGAGAAGAGAAGGGGAGCCGGUGGGGAGGGGGGGUGUGUCUGCGCUGGUGUGUGUGUGUCUGCGCUGGUGUGUGUGUGUGUGAUGUGUGAGUAGUGUGUGAUUGUGUGUGUGCGUGUGUUUUAAAGAAGAAGAAGAAAAUGAUUUGGGCCUAUUUUAUUUCUUCAUGUUGGGCCGCUUUUAAUUAAACUCUGGG
rnacentral:lncRNA from 1 species